UACGUUUGGCACAUGAAUCAAAAUGGAGGACAAAAAGAGAUCCCCCAUGUGAAAUGUCUUUGUAGCUUAAUUGUUCUCGCGACAUCAAGUGGCAGUCACAAUAAUAAGCAAUAAUGGCAAAUGCUGCUCAUAAAUUUCAGGAAAAAGGCAGAACUGGUGAUGUUAUAUUGUCAGAAGCACUAACAUUUGAUGGUUCAUUUUUGUCUAGAAAACAAGUUCUGAAUGGAUUGAAAACGUAUGCACCGAUCCAGUUGAAUGACAGGGGAUAGAACCUCUUUCCUGGAUGGAUGGAUUCAGAGAUGACCCCAUACUCAGAGAUGGGGCCAUGACUGUCACAUGGACGUUUUAGAUAAUGACUGUAAAGAAAUGAUGAUAACAGAAAGACAAACAAAUCUUGAUAUGGUUUUCUGGUGUUAAAUCAACAGACAAACUUGUCAAAGUGUUCAUAAUUUGUGGAUAAAUAGUAUCAGAGCUGAAAUCUUUUCUGCAAGUUCAUAAUAGAGUUGUUAAAUGGAGUAAUUUUACAUAUAACAAAGAAGAUAAUUUCGUUUUGGACCAAGACCAACAUCAUUACAUGGCAGAAUUGUUGGGUCUUUCGCCAGAAGAUAAAGGAUAAGCAAAAACUGGAAGAGAAAUGAUAAUCAUCAACAUGGCUGUUCAGCUGAAAUCAAAACAAAGAUGGAGUGGGACUGGUUAAUGACUUUCUAAGUGUUAUUAGUGUAGUUGACAUCAAAGACUGUGCUGGUACAUGUUCACUGUCAUUUAUAAUAUGAAAGUUCGUUCCUAACGAGAGUUCCUAAUUCAGUGCAUGUACAUGUGUAACUAUUAUCUGUCAUUCUCUGUGGUUUGGUGUUAUUUAUAUGCCAAGCGGCAUGGUGGAUCAUUUGAAAAUUUUAAUGUUUAAAGACCGACUGGUAUGUUCAACUGAUUUAAAAUCAAACCUCAUGGCUUUUAAGUUUUUAUCCUAACGAUUUAGCGUGGAACUUGUACAGUCGAACCCCGUUUGCUCGAAUUCCCAUUGACUGGCGAAAAUGCCUCGAACCUCAGAAAAUUCUUGCAAAGCGAAAAUGCUUACCUUCUCAUAAAGAAAUCGGUUCUUUACACUCAGUUCGAGCCAAGCCAGUUCGAGCCAACGGCUAUAGACUUAUAGGUGAUUUCAUAGGCCGGAAAUGCAGGUUAUAAUUUUGAUAGUGUAAUGGUUAAAAUACAUGUCAAUAAGCUCUGAAUGGGAAUAACUCAUAAUAAGUUUCUGUAUGUAAACUACAUAUUGGACCAAUAAUCACAUGGACCGAUAAUCAAACUCCCAGACUUCGUGUAGACUAUAUGUUGUUCACCUAUAAAAGAUUGUUUGUGCAAAUCAGAGCUUUUUCAUUAUCACCAUGUUUUGCAGUGUUAGUAUAAUCAGUUUUUAUGCCCCCCUUCGAAGAAGAGGGGUAUAUUGCUUUGCACAUGUCGGUCGGUCCGUAGGUAGACCAAAGCUUGUCCGAGUGAUAACUCAACAAUUCCUGGACGUAUGGUAAUCAAACUUGACAUGAAGGUUGGGCCUGACCAGUAGAUGACCCCUAUUGAUUUGAGGGCUCAUCGGGUCAAAGGUCAAAGUCACAGUUACCUUUAAUGGUAAACUAAUUUUAAAGCUUGUCCGAGUGAUAACUCAACAAUGCCUAGACCUAUUGUCAUCAAACUUGAUGGAAGUUGGGCCUGACAAGUAGAUGACCCCUAAUGUUUUGGGGAGUCAUCGGGCAAAAGGUCAAGGUCAAAGUGACCUUGAAUGGUAAAAGGUUGACCAUGUGAUAACGCGACAUUGCCUGCACCCAUGGCCCUCACACUUGACAUCGAGAUUGUGCCUGACCAGUAGAUGACCCCUAUUGUUUUUGGGGGUCAUUGGGCCAAAGGUCAAGUUCACAGUGACCUUGAAUGGUAAUAGGUUGUCUGAGUGAUAACUCGACAAUGCCUGCACCCAUGGCCCGCAAACUUGACUUGGAGGUUGGGCCUGACCAGUAGAUGACCCCUAUUGAUUUUAGGGGUCAAAGUUUAAGGUCACAGUGAACUUGAAAGCAAACUCGACAAUUCCUGGAUCUAUGGUCAUCAAACUUGACAUGAAGGUUGGGCCUGACCAGUAGAUGAACUCUCUUGACUUUGGGGGUCAUCGGGCCAAGGUCAAGGUCACAGUAACCUUUAACGCAAAAAAGUUAACAAAUCUUCUCCCAGUGAUAUCUCAACAAUGCCUGAACCUAUGAUCAUCAAACUUGACAUGGAAGUUGGGCCUGACCAGGAGAUGACCCUUAUUAAUUUAAGGAGUCAUUGGGUCAAUUGUUCAAGUUAACAGUGACCUUGAAUGCGAAAAUGUUUCAAGUGAUAAUUCGACAAUGCCUGCACCCAUGGCCUUCAAACUUGACUUGGAGUUGUGUCUGACCUGUAGAUGACCCUUAUGAUUUUAGGGGUCAAAGGUCAAGGUUACAGUGACCUUGAACGAAAAAAGCUUGUCUGUGUGAUAACUUGUAAAUGCCUGCACUCGAGGCCCUCAAACUUGACAUUUAGAUUUUUGGUGACCAGCUGAUGACUCCUAUGGAUUUUGAGGUCAUAGAGUCAAAGGUCUUGGUCAUAACACACUCUAUCCUCAAACUUUGAAUGGUCAUAAUCUUAAAACUGCCUCAACGGCAUCCAAUGUCACUGACAAAUCAGCUGUCAUUUCGGUCCAUGCAUAUUUCAUUCAAUUGUCCGUAUAAUCCUGACAACAUGGUGCUCAGGGAGGGGGGCAUAAUGUUUGACAAACAUUUCUUGUUCACUUACUAGUAUGUCUUGUAACUCUUAAGCCUUGGUCUUAUUUUGUUUUGCCAAUACUUUAGUUUUCGUUUUUUUUUGUGUCAACUGCGAAGCAUGGCAGACCUAGAGGGGUGACUUGUUCGGUGUGGUCAGGGUUCAUUGCAUCGGUCUCUGCGUGGUCACUCUUUCGUGCUAGAUUAAUUACUGUUGAUACUGUUGAAUGACUUGUGGUUCUCAAACUUGGUAUGCACAUUAGACAUGGUCAGUGAAUGACCUUUAUUGAUUUUGGGGUCAAAGAUCAAGGCCAUUGUGACAUGAAGUAACGAGCGUUUUCGUUUCCGGUCAACAGCUUUUAAACUACUUGGCGUUGAGCCUUCAAACUUCGUAUGCGGAUCAUAUGUCACUGACAGAAAAUAAGUUACUUUUCAAGGCCAUCGAGACUAGAAACAGAGCGGUGAAAUACACAACUUAAGAAAUAAAUAUUUAGAAAUUGGCAUAAGAUGUUUUACUGUUGGCAGGUAUACCCAUUGUCACAGAUACAUGUACAAGUGUAAGUUGUCGGUGAUAGCAUGUAUAACAAUGCGAAGUUAUAUGUUAAAAACUUAAAAUACUAUCAUAACAGUAAAUAAUGCUUCCAUUUCAAGCUUUUUUAAUUUCUUUACAUGCCACGCUGUUUUGUUAUGUAAAUAUUCUUAAUGCCCAUAAAAAAGUAAAUAAAGGAAAACAAACA